ensembl:lncRNA
AUGAUCAUCAGACUCGGCAGACUGACUCCUGGAUACUUCCGUCUCCUGCAGAGGCAGGUAGCAGGUGAGGUUCAGGCCCCAACUCACGACCGCUCGGUCAACCAGAUCGCCAUGAUGCUGGCCAUCAUGGGCCUCAGCCUGUCCUACUACAGUGCCAAACAGAUGAUGGAGAAGGUUCGCCAUGAACCCGCCCCGUGAAGAUGUGCAUAUGUGCUCUGGAUCGACGGCAUCUGGAGGAGAUGAAGUCGAACUGAAGAUGUUCAGAUUCUGUCACAAUACCUUUCUAUAACCUCCAGGGAUCACACACCGCAGGACUUCCGCUUAGGGGUUCUCUUGCUUUAGUUUAGCUCUCAAUGGGAUCUGGAAGGGUUGACUUGAUACAUGCAUCAGAGAGUCAGUCAAUAGGUUGCUGUAGGCUCAAAACUCAAGCUCCACCAAUGCAUGAGCGAAUCCGGAGCGCAACUCUGAGCCAUAAUGUCUUUUAAAGGGAAGGACCUCUGUGUUUGAGAUGUACCAAGCAACUAUUGAAAGCAGGUCCAAUGCACAAGGGUGAAAUGCUCCAAUUUCCCCCCAAAAAGAUGCUAUUGGAGAACAUCAAAGCCUUGAGGACUUAUAGUUAAGGUGCUGCUAUACAAUACUACACUCGGUGUCAGACACUUUAGGAAAUUUACUACACAAAGAACAUUUGAGGACCUUAUGUUAAAGUGACUUGAUCUUUUCAUUAAAUAUCUUCUCGUUUGUCCCGUUGACAAAUAUCUCAAAUCUUUAGAUGUUAAAGCCGACUUUGUGUGCAAUUGCAUGAGUUUGAAGCAGUUUGUUUUAGUGAAACCAAUCCAUAAUGUUGUUUCUAAUACUUUUUUAUGAUAAUGUGAUUAUAUGGUGAUGCUGAAUGUACUGUAUGUUGUUGUAUUUUUAAGACACAACGAUCAAAUAAAGCUGUGAAUAUGUUGAACA